AACGAACGCUGGCGGCAGGCUUAACGCAUGCAAGUCGAGCGCCCCGCAAGGGGAGCGGCAGACGGGUGAGUAACGCGUGGGAAUCUACCCAUCUCUACGGAAUAACGCAUGGAAACGUGUGCUAAUACCGUAUACGUCCUUCGGGAGAAAGAUUUAUCGGAGAUGGAUGAGCCCGCGUUGGAUUAGCUAGUUGGUGGGGUAAAGGCCUACCAAGGCGACGAUCCAUAGCUGGUCUGAGAGGAUGAUCAGCCACACUGGGACUGAGACACGGCCCAGACUCCUACGGGAGGCAGCAGUGGGGAAUAUUGGACAAUGGGCGCAAGCCUGAUCCAGCCAUGCCGCGUGAGUGAUGAAGGCCCUAGGGUUGUAAAGCUCUUUCACCGGUGAAGAUAAUGACGGUAACCGGAGAAGAAGCCCCGGCUAACUUCGUGCCAGCCGCCGGGGUAAAAC
rnacentral:rRNA from 1 species